rnacentral:rRNA from 1 species
AUUGAACGCUGGCGGCAGGCCUAACACAUGCAAGUCGAGCGGAGCGGAGGACGGGUGAGUAAUGCCUAGGAAUCUGCCUGGUAGUGGUGGCUAACUUCCGGAAACGGGAGCUAAUACCGCAUACUAUCAGAUCAACCUAGGUCGGAUUAGCUCGUUGGUGGGGUAAAGGCCUACCAAGGCGACGAUCCGUAACUGGUCUGAGAGGAUGAUCAGUCACACUGGAACUGAGACACGGUCCAGACUCCUACGGGAGGCAGCAGUGGGGAAUAUUGGACAAUGGGCGAAAGCCUGAUCCAGCAAUGCCGCGUGUGUGAAGAAGGUCUUCGGAUUGUAAAGCACUUUAAGUUGGGAGGCGUUACCAACAGAAUAAGCACCGGCUAACUUCGUGCCAGCAGCCGCGGUAAUAC